UACGAAGGGGGCUAGCGUUAUUCGGAAUUACUGGGCUUAAAGGGUAUGUAGGCGGCGCUGUUAGUCGGGUGUGAAAUCCCACGGCUCAACCGUGGAACUGCGCCCGAUACUGCUGUGGCUAGAGUCCGGUAGGGGAGCGUGGAAUUCCUGGUGUAGCGGUGAAAUGCGCAGAUAUCAGGAGGAACACCAGCGGCGAAGGCGGCGCUCUGGGCCGGAACUGACGCUGAGGAGCGAAAGCGUGGGUAGCAAACAGG
rnacentral:rRNA from 1 species